ACCCGCUGGAAUUUAAGCAUAUCAGUAAGCAGAGGAACCCCAUCAAACUUGGAUUUUGUAAGUAGUUGCGAAUGAACACAAACUUGAUCACUUUGGCAAUCUUUGCACAUCAUUGUGCAACAAUUUGUAUAUGUAGGCACAGUGCUAUCAAAGCUGCAUGCAAGUGAUUUUUGAAAGGAUACAACAUGGGAUGUGAUAUUCAUGUGUGUGUGCCUGCUUUGUCCACAGCCUGUGCUGUAUGAAUCACAUUUCUUGCAACUGAAAUGCUAAUUGCAUGGUAAAGUUCAUGUGACAUGACACAAGCUUGAGAUUCAUGAUGUGCAAGUACCAUGAGGGAAAUGUGAAAAGGACUUUGAAAAGAGAAUUAAAGAAAGCCUGCAUUUGCUGACAAUAAAAGCAAGUGUGGAUGUUUAUGUAAUUGUUACUGCAUCAAUCAAUGCUCAUCAUGAUUACUGCAUGCUUUAUAUUACAGCUCAGAACACGAAGUGUGUGUAACAGCUCUGCUUUGAUUUUUCCCACGUGGGAUCAGUUGAAACUUUGUGAGAGCACUCUUCAGUUCCCUCACGUACCCACCAGCUUUGUCCACUCGUGUGUUGGCACACAUGUAAUGAUGAUGUGUUUAUGCAAGAUACUUCUGUGCUCACCAACAUGUUGUGCAAAUCUUCACUUGACCCGUCUUGAAACACG
rnacentral:rRNA from 1 species